rnacentral:rRNA from 1 species
ACCAGAGUCGGGAUAACACCUGGAAACAGAUGCUAAUACCGGAUAACAACAGAUGAUGCCUAUCAACUGUUUAAAAGAUGGUUCUGCUAUCACUCUUGGAUGGACCUGCGGUGCAUUAGCUAGUUGGUAGGGUAACGGCCUACCAAGGCGAUGAUGCAUAGCCGAGUUGAGAGACUGAUCGGCCACAUUGGGACUGAGACACGGCCCAAACUCCUACGGGAGGCAGCAGU